rnacentral:rRNA from 1 species
AUUGAACGCUGGCGGCAUGCCUUACACAUGCAAGUCGAACGGUAACAGGCCUUCGGAUGCUGACGAGUGGCGAACGGGUGAGUAAUACAUCGGAACGUGCCCGAUCGUGGGGGAUAACGGAGCGAAAGCUUUGCUAAUACCGCAUACGAUCUACGGAUGAAAGCAGGGGACCGCAAGGCCUUGCGCGAACGGAGCGGCCGAUGGCAGAUUAGGUAGUUGGUGGGAUAAAAGCUUACCAAGCCGACGAUCUGUAGCUGGACUGAGAGGACGACCAGCCACACUGGGACUGAGACACGGCCCAGACUCCUACGGGAGGCAGCAGUGGGGAAUUUUGGACAAUGGGCGCAAGCCUGAUCCAGCAAUGCCGCGUGCAGGAUGAAGGCCUUCGGGUUGUAAACUGCUUUUGUACGGAACGAAAAGGCUCUGGUUAAUACCUGGGGCUCAUGACGGUACCGUAAGAAUAAGCACCGGCUAACUACGUGCCAGCCGCCGCCGUAAUAC